rnacentral:rRNA from 1 species
ACGAACGCUGGCGGCGUGCUUAACACAUGCAAGUCGAACGAAGAGCGAUGGAAGCUUGCUUCUAUCAAUCUUAGUGGCGAACGGGUGAGUAACGCGUAAUCAACCUGCCCUUCAGAGGGGGACAACAGUUGGAAACGACUGCUAAUACCGCAUACGAUCCAAUCUCGGCAUCGAGGAUGGAUGAAAGGUGGCCUCUAUUUAUAAGCUAUCACUGAAGGAGGGGAUUGCGUCUGAUUAGCUAGUUGGAGGGGUAACGGCCCACCAAGGCGAUGAUCAGUAGCCGGUCUGAGAGGAUGAACGGCCCCAUUGGGACUGAGACACGGCCCAGACUCCUACGGGAGGCAGCAGUGGGGAAUCUUCCGCAAUGGACGAAAGUCUGACGGAGCAACGCCGCGUGAGUGAUGACGGCCUUCGGGUUGUAAAGCUCGGUUAAUCGGGACGAAAGGUCCUCUUGCGAAUAGUUAGAGGAAUUGACGGUACCGGAAGAGAAAGCCACGGCUAACUACGUG